AGGAGCAACAGCCCCAGUGGCGGGGCCAGCUCUGGAAACCUGGAUUCAGCUCAGGCAGGAAUUCCGGAGCUCUCCGUCUGCAGGGCCUGGAGGCUCCGGGGCGGG
rnacentral:pre_miRNA from 1 species